AGUGAACGCUGGCGGCGUGCCUAAUACAUGCAAGUCGAACGAAGUGGCGCACGGGAGUGUAAUAUAUAGUUAAUCGCCCUUACACAGAGGAACAACAGUUGGGAACGACUGCUAAUACCUCAUAGUGUAGGAUGAGACUAUAUCGUAUCAGCUAGUUGGUAAGGUAAUGGCUUACCAAGGCUAUGACGCGUAACUGGUCCGGGAGGAUGAUCAGUCACAAUUGAACUGAGACACGAGCCAAACUCCUACGGGAGGCAACAGUAAGGAAAAUUGCGCAAUGGGGUAAACCCUGACGCGGCAACGUCGCGUGGAGGAUGACACUUUUCGGAGCAUAAACUCCUUUUAUCAGGAAAGCGGUACCUAAUAAAUAAGCUCCGGCGAACUCCGUGCCAGCAGCCGCGGUAAUAC
rnacentral:rRNA from 1 species